rnacentral:lncRNA from 7 species
GCCAACAGAACAUUUAUAGGGCCACGUAACAACGCGAGCGACCCGACAUGAAGCCAAAGGAGGACAAUGGGUGGCGCUGAGUGACACCAAUGGCUCCCAAUGUCCCCAAGAGGGACAAUGGACCCCAUUGAGGGACACCCAAUGCCAAAGGCCACCCAAUGGGCCCCAAUACCACCUAUAGGGCCACAUAUCAACACGAGCAUCCCAACAUGAAGACAACGGAGGGCAAUGGGUGGCGCUGAGUGACACCAAUGGGUCCCAAUGUCCCCAAGUAGUUCCCAAGGCCACCAGGAGGGACAAUGGACCCCAUUGAGGGACACCCAACGCUGAAGGUCACCCAAUGGGCCAACAGAACGUUUAUAGGGCCACGUAACAACGCGAGCGACCCGACAUGAAGCCAAAGGGGGGACAAUGGGUGGCGCUGAGUGACACCAAUGGCUCCCAAUGUCCCCAGGAGGGACAAUGGACCCCAUUGAGGGACACCCAACGUUGAAGGUCACCCAAUGGGCCCCAAUACCACCUA